AACUUGCUGGAGUUGCCAACAAAGAGGGGAAGAGAACCCUAAUUGCUGCCCUCAUUUCCAGCAGCCACACAAAACCCUUAGAAGAUCCGAGCUCGAGUGGAGCACGGUGACCUGCCGAUACUCGGAGAUUUUGCUGUAUAUAAGUUUUGCAGACACAGGGAUCCUUUUGAUAUUAUAGUUGAUUUUGGACUUUCAUAG